rnacentral:rRNA from 1 species
UACGGAGGGUGCAAACGUUGCUCGGAAUCAUUGGGCGUAAAGCGCGCGUAGGCGGCGAAGCAAGUUGGAUGUGAAAGCCCUGGGCUCAACCUAGGAUGUGCAUACAAAACUGCUUCGCUUGAAUCUCGGAGGGGGUCAGGGAAUUCCCGGUGUAGAGGUGAAAUUCGUAGAUAUCGGGAGGAACACCAGUGGCGAAGGCGCUGACCUGGACGAUGAUUGACGCUGAGGCGCGAAAGCGUGGGGAGCGAACAGG